rnacentral:rRNA from 1 species
GAUCCUGGCUCAGAUUGAACGCUAGCGGGAUGCCUUACACAUGCAAGUCGAACGGCAGCGCGGACUUCGGUCUGGCGGCGAGUGGCGAACGGGUGAGUAAUGUAUCGGAACGUGCCCAGUAGCGGGGGACAACCACUCGAAAGAGUGGCUAAUACCGCAUACGCCCUACGGGGAAAGGGGGGGAUCGCAAGACCUCUCACUAUUGGAGCGGCCGAUAUCGGAUUAGCUAGUUGGUGGGGUAAAGGCCUACCAAGGCGACGAUCCGUAGCUGGUUUGAGAGGACGACCAGCCACACUGGGACUGAGACACGGCCCAGACUCCUACGGGAGGCAGCAGUGGGGAAUUUUGGACAAUGGGGAAACCCUGAUCCAGCCAUUCCGCGUGUGCGAUGAAGGCCUUCGGGUUGUAAAGCACUUUUGGCAGGAAAGAAAUCGUGUGGGUUAAUACCCUGCGCGGAUGACGGUACCUGCAGAAUAAGCACCGGCUAACUACGUG